rnacentral:rRNA from 1 species
UACGUAGGGGGCAAGCGUUGUCCGGAAUCAUUGGGCGUAAAGCGCGUGUAGGCGGUUCGGUAAGUCUGCUGUGAAAGUCCGGGGCUCAACCCCGGAAAGCCGGUGGAUACUGUCGAACUAGAGUGCGGAAGAGGCGAGUGGAAUUCCUGGUGUAGCGGUGAAAUGCGCAGAUAUCAGGAGGAACACCAAUUGCGAAGGCAGCUCGCUGGGACGUUACUGACGCUGAGACGCGAAAGCGUGGGGAGCAAACAGG